UUUACGGAGAGUUUGAUCCUGGCUCAGGAUGAACGCUGGCGGCGUGCUUAACACAUGCAAGUCGAACGGUGAACACGGAGCUUGCUCUGUGGGAUCAGUGGCGAACGGGUGAGUAACACGUGAGCAACCUGCCCCUGACUCUGGGAUAAGCGCUGGAAACGGCGUCUAAUACUGGAUAUGUGACGUGACCGCAUGGUCUGCGUCUGGAAAGAAUUUCGGUUGGGGAUGGGCUCGCGGCCUAUCAGCUUGUUGGUGAGGUAAUGGCUCACCAAGGCGUCGACGGGUAGCCGGCCUGAGAGGGUGACCGGCCACACUGGGACUGAGACACGGCCCAGACUCCUACGGGAGGCAGCAGUGGGGAAUAUUGCACAAUGGGCGCAAGCCUGAUGCAGCAACGCCGCGUGAGGGAUGACGGCCUUCGGGUUGUAAACCUCUUUUAGCAGGGAAGAAGCGAAAGUGACGGUACCUGCAGAAAAAGCGCCGGCUAACUACGUGCCAGCAGCCGCGGUAAUACGUAGGGCGCAAGCGUUAUCCGGAAUUAUUGGGCGUAAAGAGCUCGUAGGCGGUUUGUCGCGUCUGCUGUGAAAUCCCGAGGCUCAACCUCGGGCCUGCAGUGGGUACGGGCAGACUAGAGUGCGGUAGGGGAGAUUGGAAUUCCUGGUGUAGCGG
rnacentral:rRNA from 1 species